rnacentral:rRNA from 1 species
AUUGAACGCUGGCGGCAUGCCUUACACAUGCAAGUCGAACGGCAGCACGGGUGCUUGCACCUGGUGGCGAGUGGCGAACGGGUGAGUAAUACAUCGGAACAUGUCCUGUAGUGGGGGAUAGCCCGGCGAAAGCCGGAUUAAUACCGCAUACGAUCCACGGAUGAAAGCGGGGGACCUUCGGGCCUCGCGCUAUAGGGUUGGCCGAUGGCUGAUUAGCUAGUUGGUGGGGUAAAGGCCUACCAAGGCGACGAUCAGUAGCUGGUCUGAGAGGACGACCAGCCACACUGGGACUGAGACACGGCCCAGACUCCUACGGGAGGCAGCAGUGGGGAAUUUUGGACAAUGGGCGAAAGCCUGAUCCAGCAAUGCCGCGUGUGUGAAGAGGGCCUUCGGGUUGUAAAGCACUUUUGUCCGGAAAGAAAUCCUUGACUCUAAUACAGUCGGGGGAUGACGGUACCGGAAGAAUAAACACCGGCUAACUACGU